CCCAACUCAAGAGUAAACCCAAAAUCCAAUCCAAUAUAUCUGAACCCUCACCAAUCACACAUUCAAUGGCUGAUUUGUGAGAAUAGACGAUUACAAAGGCACGGUGACUUUGAAUUUUUCUCUCAGCCUCUCAUUGUCUCACUCUCAUCUUUGUGAGCCCUCGAUAUGGUGCCGCCUGCGUCACCUUUCUUUCAUCGAUGCCAUUAAUGGAAGCCAAAUCACAAUUACUUCAGUUUCAAAUUAUACCUCAAUGUCCUCCGUCGUCUCCGUAGGUUGCCACUGCUAUGGAGGCUCAUAAGUUGUGAAGAAAUCAAGUUCAUUUCUUUCCCCACUUAAAUGCCUCAUGGCAGGCACGUUCUGCAAAAGUCCUGCACCUGGUGAACAACCAUUCGUGAAGGUAAUUGAUAUAAAUUUGAUGAUGGGAAAAGAAAAAAAUGAAGGUAGGAACGGAUUUGUAUUUUCAAAGUAGAUGUGUGUAUCAAUUUUUUUUUUUGUAUUUUUUGUAUACAACACAUGCUCAGAAGAAAUUAUUUUGUAAUUGGCUUUACCCCUAUUUAGACUAUUUCAAUGCUUUAUUUAUUCUUUCA